rnacentral:rRNA from 1 species
ACGAACGCUGGCGGCAGGCUUAACACAUGCAAGUCGAACGCCCCGCAAGGGGAGUGGCAGACGGGUGAGUAACGCGUGGGAACAUACCCAACUCUACGGAAUAACUCAGGGAAACUUGUGCUAAUACCGUAUACGCCCUUCGGGGGAAAGAUUUAUCGGAGUUGGAUUGGCCCGCGUUGGAUUAGCUAGUUGGUGGGGUAAAGGCCUACCAAGGCGACGAUCCAUAGCUGGUCUGAGAGGAUGAUCAGCCACAUUGGGACUGAGACACGGCCCAAACUCCUACGGGAGGCAGAAGUGGGGAAUAUUGGACAAUGGGCGCAAGCCUGAUCCAGCCAUGCCGCGUGUGUGAUGAAGGCCUUAGGGUUGUAAAGCACUUUCACCGGAGAAGAUAAUGACGGUAUCCGGAGAAGAAGCCCCGGCUAACUUCGU